rnacentral:rRNA from 1 species
GACGAACGCUGGCGGCGUGCUUAACACAUGCAAGUCGAACGGAAAGGCCCUGCUUUUGUGGGGUGCUCGAGUGGCGAACGGGUGAGUAACAUGUGAGUAACCUGCCCUUGACUUUGGGAUAACUUCAGGAAACUGGGGCUAAUACCGGAUAGGAGCUCCUGCUGCAUGGUGGGGGUUGGAAAGUUUCGGCGGUUGGGGAUGGACUCGCGGCUUAUCAGCUUGUUGGUGGGGUAGUGGCUUACCAAGGCUUUGACGGGUAGCCGGCCUGAGAGGGUGACCGGCCACAUUGGGACUGCGAUACGGCCCAGACUCCUACGGGAGGCAGCAGUGGGGAAUAUUGCACAAUGGGCGGAAGCCGGAAGCAGCAACGCCGCGUGCGGGAUGACGGCCUUCGGGUUGUAAACCGCUUUCGCCUGUGACGAAGCGUGAGUGACGGUAAUUGGUAAAGAAGCACCGGCUAACUACGUG